CUGUUACUGUGUCACUAUACCCCACUCCCUCUAACAUGUAAACUCACUGAGCAGGCCCUCAAUCCCUCUGUUACUGUGUCACUAUACCCCACUCCCUCUAACAUGUAAGCUCACUGAGCAGGCCCUCAAUCCCUCUGUUACUGUCACUAUACCCUACUCCCUCUAGCAUGUAAACUCAUUGAGCAGGCCUUCAAUCCCUCUGUUACUGUCACUAUACCCCACUCCCUCUAACAUGUAAACUCACUGAGCAGGCCCUCAAUCCCUCUGUUACUGUCACUAUACCCCAUUCCCUCUAACAUGUAAACUCACUGAGCAGGGCCCCCAACCUCUUUGUUCCUGUGCGUCCACUUGUCUGGGUUCAACUACGAGUGUUAGUCCACCCACUGUACAGCGCUACAGAAUUUGCUGGCGCUAUAUAAAUAAAAUAAUAACAUAAAGCGGGACAACGAAAGCAGCCAGAAAAUUUCUAGGUCCAGAACGAAUGUAUAUACAUGGUCAACAUCUGAUCGAUCUAAAAUUCUAAUGAAGGAUCAUCUCUUAACCAUCAUAAAAGUCUAAAUAAUCAAGUAGAGGAGAAUUUGUUACCAUUACUUUAGUCAACAUUUCAAUGUUUCCACUUGGAAGAAAUGCACAUACG